GACGAACGCUGGCGGCGUGCCUAACACAUGCAAGUCGAACGGAAAGGCCCUGCGUUUGUGGGGUUCUCGAUUGGCGAACGCGGGAGUAACACGUGUGUAACCUGCCCUUGUCUUUGGGAUAACUUCAGGAAACUGGGGCUAAUAUCGGAUAGGAGCUCCUGCUGCAUGGUGGGGGUUGGAAAGUUUCGGCGGUUGGGGAUGGACUGGCGGGUUAUCAGCUUGUUGGUGGGGUAGUGGCUUACCAAGGCUUUGACGGGUAGCCGGCCUGAGAGGGUGACCGGCCACAUUGGGACUGAGGUACGGAGCAGACUGCUACGGGAGGCAGCAGUGGGGAGUAUUGCACAAUGGGCGGAAGCCUGAUGCAGCAACGCCGCGUGCGGAAUGACGGCCUUCGGGUUGUAAACCGCUUUCGACUGAGACGAAGCGUGCGUGACGGUAAUGGGUAAAGAAGCACCGGCUAACUACGUG
rnacentral:rRNA from 1 species